rnacentral:rRNA from 1 species
AGAGUUUGAUCCUGGCUCAGGAUGAACGCUGACAGAAUGCUUAACACAUGCAAGUCGAUGGGGAAGUGGUGCUUGCACCAUGGUAACCAUGGCGGACGGGUGAGUAACGCGUAAGGGACUUACCUGCAGGACUGGGAUAACAGGGGGAAACUCCUGACAAGACCGGAUAAUGUCAUGGAGCUGCAUGGCUUUAUGAUGAAAGGAGACGCCUGCGGAGAGCCUUGCGUCCUAUUAGCUAGUUGGUGAGGUAAUGGCUCACCAAGGCGAAGAUAGGUAGCCGGCCUGAGAGGGUGGACGGCCACAAGGGGACUGAGAUACGGCCCUUACUCCUACGGGAGGCAGCAGUGGGGAAUAUUGGACAAUGGGGGCAACCCUGAUCCAGCAAUUCUGUGUGCACGAAGAAGGUUUUCGGAUUGUAAAGUGCUUUCAGCAGGGAAGAAGAAAGUGACGGUACCUGCAGAAGAAGCGACGGCUAAAUACGUGCCAGCAGCCGCGGUAAUACGUAUGUCGCGAGCGUUAUCCGGAAUUAUUGGGCAUAAAGGGCAUCUAGGCGGCCUGACAAGUCAGGGGUGAAAACCUGCGGCUCAACCGCAGGCCUGCCUUUGAAACUGUGAGGCUGGAGUACCGGAGAGGUGGACGGAACUGCACGAGUAGAGGUGAAAUUCGUAGAUAUGUGCAGGAAUGCCGAUGAUGAAGAUAGUUCACUGGACGGUAACUGACGCUGAAGUGCGAAAGCCGGGGGAGCGAACAGGAUUAGAUACCCUGGUAGUCCCGGCCGUAAACGAUGAUUACUGGGUGUGGGCAGGAAGACUGUCUGUGCCGAAGCGAAUGCGAUAAGUAAUCCGCCUGGGGAGUACGGCCGCAAGGCUGAAACUCAAAGGAAUUGACGGGGACCCG